UUUACACCAAGUAGGGGAGCAGGUGCCUUAAAGUCUGGCUUCGCCCCCAAAAGAGAGCUGGACGAAGCGUUCUCCCCAAAUUGGAUAAGGUGUUCUGAAUAAGCAGAAAAUGCCUUGGAGGAAAUCUCAGCAUCACUGGUGCUGUGACUUGGAUCUGUGUCUGGAUUAGGUGACCCAGAUCCACUUGUCUGGAACAGGAAUAUGUUGCUGGAUAAUACAAUUGAAAAAGCAAGCACAAAGAGAAAUACGAUGCAACUGAAACAAAUGCUAACGUAAGAGACAACAAAAAGGAGUGGAACGUGGGCUGACUGAGCUGACAAAACAGACCCAAGUUAAAACAAAAAGAACCCAAAAAAGUAACUGCUGAAACAACUAACUAUAGUGGGUAUGUUUAUAGUACACAAAGUCGGCAGAAACAACCUGAACUGAUAAGUUUACCAUAUGUAGUCUGCAAAGCAAUUGGUUUUUUCAUGCAAAAAGUAUAGAUGUAUAUAAACUGUGUAGUGUGUGACAUGAAUUAGAAUUGUGGUAUUACCCUGUACCUAAACCCCCUGCGUCUGGGCCUGGCUAGCGAGGACACACAGCUGUUACAUGCCUAAUAAAGUAACCAAAGUGAUGAGCUGGAGCUUGAGGGGUUUUUGAAUCCAAGAGAACUGGAUGAAGUGUUCUCCCAGAACUGGACAAGGUGUUCUGAAU